AGAUUCUGACAAUACCCCGGCUGUUCACCUCAGUUUUUUGGCGUUAGCCCCUCGCUAGCCACUCGUCAGCAAGAGGUUAAAGACCAGCGGUGAAACAGCAACAACUAAACACCUUAAUUCGAUGACCCCCAAAAGGCCCGCGGCCGCCUGAUCAGCCGUUCACCGCUCGCUGGAUGACACGCCGGCACCUGCCCAGCGAGUUAGCGUGUUAGCUUGUUAGGUCUUGUCGCCGCUAGUGUGCCACCAGAGGCAAUAGCAGCGGCUCGACCAACAUUGCGAUAAACCGUGUUCUGAUCUAACGUUAGCUUAGGUGGUAUUUUUCAUGGGCACAGGUUGUGUUGGUGUCUCUGGUCUCUGGUUGGUCUCAUUGGUGUUACAAAAUGUUUACGUGUCUCAAGCUGUUGUGUUGUUAAAGAGCGUUUGUUGCGGGUUAUUUAUUGUUGUUAUAACCAUGACUUAAUCAAGUAGUUCCAACCGCUCCACCUUGAGCUAUGAGGUGUAAAAUGAAAUGAAAAAGGCAGGUGCAUGUUAGUAUGACGCUACGGGAAACAUUCAUACCGUAAGUAAAUAAGUAAACCGUAAACCGGUUGAAACGCGGUUUGCCGCACACAGUCCUAUCCGAUGGUUUAAAACACACAUUAGUGUCUUUCAGUAUUGAGCUCUGUAGUUGGACAGUUUCCAUAUAUAUCUAUGUCACAUAAUUCACCUCACAUACUUGAGAAUGCAUCAGGGCUUGCGAUUUUUACAAAUCAUCGUAAUUGGAUCUAAUGAUUGUGUUUUUCCUCCAUCACCAACAGUGCAAUCAAGCAAUCGGCCAGACGCUGAGCACAGCGGCCUCUCGUCAUUGACAGUUCUUCUGGUUUUCCUACUCAAAAGCAAACAACAUACAACACAGUGCUCCGUUGUUUCCACGGAGAUGCUACAAUUAUUAUUCGUAUGAUUAUUAUUUGUUUGCCUAGCUGCAUGUUCCCUUUCUCUGCAGUACGUUGGGACAAGUGGCAAAGAGGCAGCAUGUUAGCUGCUGUGUGAUUGAGUGAGUGACCUUCAAGUCACAAUAAAGCCCAUUAUGUCAUCUUUACGGGAGAUUGUCGCCAUCAUUUCAUACAUUUGCAUCGGACCCUUGGAAUGUCUCUGUUGAAUGUGAGGUUGAGUUUGCUGAUUCAGUAAACGUCUAUUGAGAUUAAAGGUCAGAUCUGGGUUAAGAACUCACACAAAAAAAAAAAAAAGCAAAUGCUAACGGCACAGAGGAGCGAUACUUCCUCCAAAAGCUGCAGACGGGUCUUUCCCUUCGUGUUUCCAGCACAAUUCAGAAGCUUUAUCUUGCCUGAGGCUCAGAGGAGACUUAGACUGACACAUUCCAGCUGCUUCUCCAGCUGCAGACAAAACAACAAACUGCCGACAAACAGAGAUGUGCGAGGGGAUGCAUACUGUGCCCUUAAGGAUUCAUGCCCUGGUCUUGUAGUGGUGCUGCAGUCUCCGUAAUUGUCUGGCCUUUGUGGACUAAUUGCUUGUCUGCUGCACCAUCGCAUGCUUCAAUUGCUGAAAGGAGGACUCACUUAAUGCAAUACAGGGGGUGCUGUCUCCAAGAGCUGCUGGUUGAGGGAAGUCAACAGAGCGUAUAUUACUACUCCUCUAGAGAUGUAUGCAACACUGUCAAAGAGCUUUGGAUUCCGACCGAUUCUGACCGACCACCAACGCUUUUAGCGGCACAAAAGUGCUGCUACCGAUAUCAAUAAUGUUACAGAAAUCUGGUUGUAGAGGACAACUAGGAGGUAUACGUCUUAAAGAAACAUAUAGUAUAGUCACCUGCAUAAAUGCAGAAAUAACAACAACUUUGUUUUUGCCUUGAAGCUGGUAUUUUUGUACAGUUGACGCUAAUACAGAUAUCUACCAAGUCCAAUUACAUCUUGACAGCUUAACUCGAGGACCACUUUAAAGUUCAAAUAUCGUCAAACUACAUGAAAAUAUUAACUAUUAUUUUAAGGGAAUGUUAACAGUAGACGCUCACCUUCGACUGUAUAAACACUCAUUGUUUGUUUGCGUCAACUCGGCAAAAUGGAAACAGCUUAAUUGGAGCAUAUAUGAACUGAUAUGUCACAUUAUUCCCAACACACUUCUUUCUGUCGAAUGCCGACUGUCGACACUGCAGCCCCGCGACUUUCGUGAUAAGGUUACCGUGACAUUUUCCAGAUGGCGGCUGAAAAAAAGCGUCGGAAACAAAACGAUGUCUAAAUGGAUUCCGUCCUGAGCUGCGGGUUUGAUGCUGUGUUAUCGACAGGCUACUUCCCAGAAGGAAUGGGCUUUGCCAGGGGACAGGACUAAUGGAACAAACCAAGAGUUGCAUCCCCCCUGACACCCUAUCUGAGUCUAAACUCGCCUGCUUAGAAACUGCGGCGGCGCCCGGGUGCAGCCGCCUCGCUCCAUCUUUUGGCUUUGCAUCUCUUGCCGCCUCGGGGCUUGGUUGAAAGGUCAAAUCCACAUCAGAUUUCUCUUGUUUGACGUUUUAAAAACCCGACAUUAUUCUCUCUCCACUUCGGCCAAAGUGACACGCGGCAGUGGCUCGACUCACGGAGCUCAGACUCGUGGGGAGACACAAUCCCCGGUGACGUCAAAGCGGUGUAAAUAACUCCUGCAGUGGAUUAGAAGGAGGGAGCUGUUCGUACCGCUUAGACCGAGGCGAAGAAACAAACGCAGCGUGUGACACGUCGAGCGGCUCUUGCGCCGUCGACGCACAGGUCUUCCCGAGGCAACUCGCUCAAGGCUCCGGAUGGGUUUGAGAAACGACAGGUAUAUCAAGUGAAAUUAAGAAAAAGGACAUAUUUUUCAUUCAACGUCACAGUAAUGAACAGAAGAUUUAAGGACCAGCUGCUGCUGUUGCACAUCAGGGAGACCUUUUGGCAGUGGGGGGGGGAACUCAGCAGCAGGCCGUGGCGUCUCCUGAGAUGUUCUUUUGUUAAAUGGGCAGCGCAGCAGUUUUAAUAAUAUCUGACCAAGAAAAACUCCAAACUAGACAGCGUCAUGAAACUACUGCUGCUGACAACGGCAUUAUUAAAACCAAGGCUGGCGAGAAGAUUCCCAAACCGUGAUCACAGUAAAUCUGAAGCCUGAUGCUCAACCCGAGCGGAUGUAUUGGCAUUAUAAAGUAUUUUCUAAAGAAUUACUGGUGCUUGAAAUUAAUUGUAAAUGCUUUUUUAAAUUUACAAACGUGUCUGGAACUCAACCGAAAAGGCUACAAUGGUCUGAGUUCAAGGUAAUUAAACUAAAAAAAUGUCAGGGCACUGCUCCAAUCCGAUAGAUGUAUCCAUCUAUCCUACUUUUAUAGUUUUCUUUGGUUGCUUUUUAUUUUCCAGAAUGUUAUGAUUCUAAUUAAUAUGUCGUUUGACUCAACAAAGCCUCUGAUAUUCCUUUUCCUAAGCAAGCAAUGAUAAAAUAUGUCUUUUUUGUGUUUGCAUGAUGGGAUGAAAAGUGCAACCGGCUGGAAGGUAAUCUCGCAAGCCGAUGAGGACGUCUCAGUGUGGGGGAGACAAAGACACGGGACACAGCGGUGCAGAAACAUCAAAGUGCUGAAGAUCAAGUAAUCUCAAUCAAUACCUUUCCUCAGAGGAGAAAGGGAGCAACACAUUUGGAGCCAGAGACGGAUAAAGAUUCAACAUAGAGUGUAUCUCUCCUCGACUGAGCUUCAGAGGACAUGGGAUACCCGAGCCUGGGAGCACUCAGACGUCUUGGCAAGCAGGAGGAGAUGCGGCAGAAAGUGAGAUGACAAAGUGACGUCCAAGGACAACCGACAAAAAAAAACCUAAAUAUUCUUGUCCUUAAACAGCAAAAGUGGAGAUGUCUGUCACAGUUUGAUGACUUUGAUGGAGUAGAGACGGGGCGCCCUUGAGGUUUGAAGAUACUGUGCUGUAGUUAGAAAGUCACGGGUUUAAUCCAUCAGUGGCAAACUCAUCCACUGACACCUAUUGGUUCCUUUAGAAAACUCUUUUGUUACGUUCUGCAUGCACAGAGCACGCUGGCUAUCGACCGUUCUCCAGCUAAGGUCUAAUGUGGAUUCAAGCUAUUUAAAAGUAACCUCGCUCUUAUUGAGUAUCCCAGAAGCUUAACAAAAUACUGCAUGUGUCUUUCACUUGUACCCUCUACAUUUCACUAAGCAAGGUGGCUUUAAUUAGCAAAAUAAACAAUUACCCCAAAAUACAUCCUUUGUGCAACCUUCUCUAAACAUCUAGAACACUGGGCUUAUUAAGGAAGAGUCGCAAAUGCUGAGAUGUUUGGCUUUGGCUGAAUCCAUGAGGGUCACACGUCGUAUUCUGCAGGUCUACAACACUUUAACGCCGCGGUGAUACACAACCAUCUCUGACCAGGUGAAAAAUUAAAUCAGAGCAAAGCAAUAAAUGUGUCAAAUCGGCUCGUAAACUCUGAGCUCUCUGGCAUACUUUCUACGUCGAUCGUUUGUCCGAUGCUUUCUUUUUUCUUGGCGGUAUCUCUGAGUUCGCCCCGGCGCCAGUCGAGCCGGAGAGUCGAGUGAUGUACUUUGUAGGAGGCAGUUUUAAUCACUAUGUCGACAUCAAUCAUGUUGUCUCAGGAAUACAGUGCUCAUAAAGCACCGGAACUACAUUAAGUCAAACAUGUUAGAAAGAAGGUUGUUGAGUUUUUCUAAAUCCAAAUAAUAGUCCAAAUAAAACAAGUUGGUAAUUUCAUUGAUAAAAUGUUUUGGGGAAAAUGCACAUUCCCUGCACAAUGUACCACUAAGGUAUCAGUUCAUAUCCUCAUACGGCGGCGUGAUGGUGUCUGGGUGACAUUCUGCGCCGCGUCGACCGCCCCAGACUACGUAAACGCACACAACGGAACACUUUUAGAGAAAGAACUUCAAAUGUGGGGAUUUUUUUUAGAUUAAAUUGUUAUUUAUGAUCCAGGGAAAACACCAUAAGUGGUGAUAAAAAUUGAGAAGAACAUUAACAAACACGGCUGUGGGGAAACAGCGGCAAUGAAGGCUGAAUCGACGGUGAGAUUUAGAGGCCAUUUGAGCGGCUGUAAAACCGAAGAUCUCCAAAGCAACUAAACGAACCGUGUAAUAUUUUAGACUAAUUGCAGACUGUUGUGCACAGGAGGUUUUUAAAGCAUUAGAUUCAUAUGGAUAGCGAGUACGUACGCACUAAAAAAACAUUUAAAAAAAAAGAAGCCAGAGCAGCAGUUUGUUUUGCCAGCGACUGUAACCUUUAGUUCUGCCGACGCCCCCCUCUGCAGAAAGUGGACCGGGUUUGUGGUCGUUAGUGUGUAUGCCGACCUCAAAUGCACCGCGAUGCAGCUAGAAACACAUCGUUAAAGGUUCAACACAACUUGUUCCCUGUGUGCACUAUGAAGGUUCUUCCGCUUUCCUCCUCUGACCUCAUCAACCUGCACCAACGCCGCCAUCCAUCACUGUGGUCGUUAAAGGUUGUCAGGCGUCUACUUCACUAAAGAAGAUGGAAAUGGGAGCCGGGUGCCUGCGGUCUUCAGGGGUCUCUCCAAACCUUUUCCCAGGAAACCAGGAGCUCCUUUGGUGAGAAGUUCUUUGAUGCCGACUGCAGUCGUAUAAUGUCAUCUCCAAUUACCUCUGAAAUCCAUCUGUACUCCCUCCAUCGCCCCACAGCCGCCACCUGUGUUUGUCAGCUAAAAUCCCGUCGCUUAAGCAACUGUAGAGGAGCUCUCAGAUC
ensembl:lncRNA